CCUACGGGUGGCAGCAGUGGGGAAUAUUGCACAAUGGGGGAAACCCUGAUGCAGCGACGCCGCGUGAGUGAAGAAGUAUCUCGGUAUGUAAAGCUCUAUCAGCAGGGAAGAAAAUGACGGUACCUGACUAGGAAGCCACGGCUAACUACGUGACAGCAGCCGCGGUAAUACGUAGGGUGCAAGCGUUAUCCGGAUUUACUGGGUGUAAAGGGAGCGUAGGCGGCGCUGCAAGUCCGGAGUGAAAGUCCAUGGCUUAACCAUGGUACUGCUGUUGAAACUGUGGAGCUUGAGUGCGUGAGGGGCAGGCGGAAUUCGUGGUGUAGCGGUGAAAUGCGUAGAUAUUAGGAGGAACACCGGCGGCGAAGGCAGCCUGCUGGGCCGUAACUGACGUUGAGGCACGAAAGCGUGGGGAGCAAACAGGAUUAGAUACCCGUGUAGUC
rnacentral:rRNA from 1 species